GCUCAGGACGAACGCUGGCGGCGUGCCUAAUACAUGCAAGUCGAGCGGACAGAUGGGAGCUUGCUCCCUGAUGUUAGCGGCGGACGGGUGAGUAACACGUGGGUAACCUGCCUGUAAGACUGGGAUAACUCCGGGAAACCGGGGCUAAUACCGGAUGCUUGUUUGAACCGCAUGGUUCAGACAUAAAAGGUGGCUUCGGCUACCACUUACAGAUGGACCCGCGGCGCAUUAGCUAGUUGGUGAGGUAACGGCUCACCAAGGCGACGAUGCGUAGCCGACCUGAGAGGGUGAUCGGCCACACUGGGACUGAGACACGGCCCAGACUCCUACGGGAGGCAGCAGUAGGGAAUCUUCCGCAAUGGACGAAAGUCUGACGGAGCAACGCCGCGUGAGUGAUGAAGGUUUUCGGAUCGUAAAGCUCUGUUGUUAGGGAAGAACAAGUGCCGUUCAAAUAGGGCGGCACCUUGACGGUACCUAACCAGAAAGCCACGGCUAACUACGUGCCAGCAGCCGCGGUAAUACGUAGGUGGCAAGCGUUGUCCGGAAUUAUUGGGCGUAAAGGGCUCGCAGGCGGUUUCUUAAGUCUGAUGUGAAAGCCCCCGGCUCAACCGGGGAGGGUCAUUGGAAACUGGGGAACUUGAGUGCAGAAGAGGAGAGUGGAAUUCCACGUGUAGCGGUGAAAUGCGUAGAGAUGUGGAGGAACACCAGUGGCGAAGGCGACUCUCUGGUCUGUAACUGACGCUGAGGAGCGAAAGCGUGGGGAGCGAACAGGAUUAGAUACCCUGGUAGUCCACGCCGUAAACGAUGAGUGCUAAGUGUUAGGGGGUUUCCGCCCCUUAGUGCUGCAGCUAACGCAUUAAGCACUCCGCCUGGGGAGUACGGUCGCAAGACUGAAACUCAAAGGAAUUGACGGGGGCCCGCACAAGCGGUGGAGCAUGUGGUUUAAUUCGAAGCAACGCGAAGAACCUUACCAGGUCUUGACAUCCUCUGACAAUCCUAGAGAUAGGACGUCCCCUUCGGGGGCAGAGUGACAGGUGGUGCAUGGUUGUCGUCAGCUCGUGUCGUGAGAUGUUGGGUUAAGUCCCGCAACGAGCGCAACCCUUGAUCUUAGUUGCCAGCAUUCAGUUGGGCACUCUAAGGUGACUGCCGGUGACAAACCGGAGGAAGGUGGGGAUGACGUCAAAUCAUCAUGCCCCUUAUGACCUGGGCUACACACGUGCUACAAUGGACAGAACAAAGGGCAGCGAAACCGCGAGGUUAAGCCAAUCCCACAAAUCUGUUCUC
rnacentral:rRNA from 1 species